rnacentral:lncRNA from 1 species
GGGGCGCCUGGGCAGCUCAGUCGGUUAAGUGUCCGACUUUGGCUCAGGUCGUGAUCUCACGGUUCGUGGGUUCGAGCCCCACGUCAGGCUCUGUGCUGACAGCUCAGCUUCAGAUUCUGUGUCUCCCUCUUUCUGUACCCCUCCCCUGCUUGUUCUUUCUCUCUCCCUCUCUCUCUCUCCCCCUCAUUCUCUCUCUCUGUCUCCCUCACUCUCUCUCUCUCUCCCCCUUUCUCUCUCUCCCUCAUUCUCUCUCUCUCUGCCUCACUCUCUCUCUCUCCCUCUCUGUCCCUUUCUCUCUCCUUCUCUCUCUCUCUCCUUCUCUCUCUCUCCCUCUCUCUCUCUCUCUCUCCCUCAUUCUCUCUCUCUCUCCCUCAUUCUCUCUCUCUCCCUCUCUCUCUCCCUCUCUCUCUCUCUCUCUGUCUCCCUUACUCUCUCUCUCUCUCCCUCUUUCUCUCUUUGUCUCCCUCUCUCUCUCUGUCUCUCUGUCUCUCUCUCCCUCUCUCUCCUCUCUCUCUCCUUCUCUCUCUCUCUCUCUCCUUCUCCCCCCCCUCUCUCUCCCUCAUUCUCUCACUCUGUCUCUCUCUCCCUCUCUCUCCCUCCUCUCUCUCCCUCAUUCUGUCCCUCUCUGUCUCCCUCUCUCUCUCUCUCUCUCUCCUUCUCUCCCUCUCUCUCCCCCUCAUUCUGUCUCUCUCUCCCUCCCUCUCUCUCUCUCUGUCUCUCUCCCCCUCAUUCUGUCUCUCUCUCCCUCUCUCUCUCUCUCUGUCUCUCCCUCCUUCUCUCUCCCUCCUCUCCCUCUCUCUCUCUCUCCCUCAUUCUCUCUCUCUGUCUCUCUCCUUCUCUCUCUCUCUCUUCUCUCUCUCUCUUCCCUCUCUCUCUCUCCCUCUCUCUCUCUCUCCCUCCUCUCUCUCUCCUCUCUCUCUCUCUCUCUCUCUCUCUCUCUGUCUUGCAGUCUCUGUCUCCCUCUCUCCCUCUCGCUCUCCUUCUCUCUCUCUGUCUCUCUCCUUCUCCCCCUUUCUCUCUCUCUCCCUCAUUCUCUCUCUCUGUCUCCCUCACUCUCUCUCCCUCUCUCUCCCCCUCAUUCUGUCUCCCUCUCUCUCUCCCUCAUUCUGUCCCUCUCUGUCUCCCUCUCUCUCCUUCAUUCUCUCUCUCUCUCUUCCUCUCUCUCCUUCUCUCCCUCCCACCACCCCCCCCCCCCCCGC